GGGAAGCCCGAGUUCGCGCCCGCAGCCCCCGGGCCGCCCCAGCGCGGGAGUUUCGAGGGGAGCCGGAGGAGAGCUGCGGCGUCACAUGGGGGGCCACCCGGGGACAGGCGCCUGGGGCUGAGUCUCCCGGCGAAGCCACCGCGAAGGGGCCGCAUCCCCCAGAGAACGACCCUGGGCGUUCGCGAAGGCCUCGCAGAGAGGGGGAGCCCGCCUGCGCGUCCGCGCCCUCACAGGUGGCCGGGUGGCGGCGCCCAGCCCCGCCUGCGGACCCACGAGAGGCGGGCGGGGGCGCGCCUGUGCGCCGGGGCCGGGGGCCGGCGGGGGAGGUUCCCGCGAGGUGGUUCUCGGGCUCCUCCUCGGCGCCUCAGAUUUCCUCUCCCCGCCAGCGGGCUGCUGGCUGCGGCGCCGCCUCUCUCUACUCCCUCCUCCCGCCGCCCCCCUUCCCCGCGGUUGGGCCCACUCUGCGGCCUCUGCCCGCCUCGCCCUCGCCCGGGCCUCCUCCCGCUUUCUCUCUCCGCUUCCCCUGGAGCCUCCGAGGAGUCCGCAGCCGCUGGGCGCCCGGGAAGAUGGCGGCGGCGGCGGGAGACGGCGGCGGCGAGGGGGGCGCGGGCCUGGGCAGCGCGGCGGGGCUGGGGCCGGGGCCGGGGCUGCGCGGGCAGGGCCCCUCAGCCGAAGCGCACGAGGGCGCCCCGGACCCGAUGCCCGCCGCGCUGCACCCUGAGGAGGUCGCCGCGCGACUGCAGCGGAUGCAGCGGGAGCUGAGCAACCGCAGGAAAAUCCUGGUGAAAAACCUGCCCCAGGACAGCAACUGCCAGGAAGUUCAUGAUUUGUUAAAAGACUAUGACUUAAAAUAUUGUUAUGUGGACAGAAAUAAACGAACAGCUUUUGUUACCUUAUUGAAUGGGGAACAAGCCCAGAAUGCAAUUCAGAUGUUUCAUCAAUAUUCUUUUAGAGGAAAAGACUUAAUAGUCCAGCUUCAGCCAACAGAUGCUUUGUUGUGUAUUACCAAUGUGCCCAUUUCUUUUACAUCAGAAGAGUUUGAAGAACUUGUUCGUGCUUAUGGAAAUAUUGAGAGAUGUUUUCUCGUCUAUAGUGAAGUUACUGGCCAUUCCAAAGGCUAUGGAUUUGUGGAAUACAUGAAAAAGGACUUUGCUGCAAAGGCUAGACUGGAGCUAUUGGGUAAACAGUUGGGAGCAUCAGCACUCUUUGCACAAUGGAUGGAUGUUAAUCUAUUGGCUUCAGAGCUCAUUCAUUCUAAGUGCCUUUGUAUUGAUAAACUCCCCAGUGACUACAGGGAUUCAGAAGAGCUGUUGCAAUUUUUUUCCAGUGUCCAUAAACCUGUGUUUUGCCAGCUUGCACAGGAUGAAGGUAGUUACGUUGGUGGCUUUGCAGUGGUUGAAUAUAGCACUGCGGAGCAUGCUGAAGAGGUCCAGCAGGCAGCAGACGGUAUGACCAUCAAGGGCAGCAAAGUCCAGGUUUCCUUCUGUGCUCCUGGAGCGCCAGGGCGAAGUACAUUAGCAGCAUUGAUAGCGGCUCAACGUGUGAUGCACAGUAAUCAAAAGGGCUUACUUCCAGAGCCAAAUCCAGUACAAAUUAUGAAAAGUUUAAACAACCCUGCCAUGUUGCAAGUUCUUCUACAGCCCCAGUUAUGUGGACGAGCUGUUAAACCAGCCGUUCUUGGAACACCUCACAGCUUGCCACAUCUGAUGAAUCCAUCCAUCUCUCCUGCAUUUUUACAUUUGAAUAAAGCACAUCAGAGCUCAGUUAUGGGUAAUACUUCUAAUUUAUUCCUUCAGAAUUUUUCUCAUAUACCACUGGCACAACAACAAUUAAUGAAGUUUGAGAGUAUUCAUACUAAUAAUAAACCCGGCUUACUUGGAGAGCCCCCAGCUGUGGUACUUCAGACUGCACUAGGGAUAGGGUCAGUGCUUCCAUUGAAAAAGGAGUUGGGACAUCAUCAUGGAGAAGCACAUAAAACAUCUAGCCUGAUUCCAACUCAAACAACGAUAACAGCUGGAAUGGGCAUGUUACCAUUCUUUCCAAAUCAGCACAUUGCUGGACAGGCUGGGCCAGGGCACAGUAAUACUCAGGAGAAACAGCCAGCCACGGUGGGAAUGGCAGAAGGAAAUUUCUCAGGGUCGCAGCCUUAUCUUCAGAGCUUUCCAAACCUUGCUGCUGGAAGCUUGCUGGUGGGACACCAUAAGCAGCAGCAAAGCCAGCCAAAAGGCACAGAGAUAAGUUCAGGGGCUGCCUCUAAGAAUCAAACUUCACUCUUGGGAGAACCACCAAAAGAAAUUCGGCUCAGUAAAAAUCCAUACUUGAAUUUGGCAAGUGUGUUGCCCAGUGUGUGCUUAUCAUCCCCUGCAAGUAAAACCACUCUUCAUAAGACUGGAAUUGCAAGCAGCAUUCUGGAUGCAAUCUCUCAGGGAAAUGAAUCACAACACGCAUUGGAAAAGUGCAUUGCUUAUUCUCCACCUUUUGGUGAUUAUGCACAGGUCUGAAAUCUAAAAGCUGGACUUGAAGCUGUAAGAAAGGGACAUUAGGGGCUUGAUUCAGAUCUCAGGAGAACUAGUGCAAUCCCAUUUUGGUUCUCCGUAUACCUGACUCCACUGAAGAGACAAGACUUAGAAAAGGUGAAGUGGGGCUGAAGGUAUCAUCUUUAAGAAAUGAAAAGCGAGGCUCAUCAUAUCUCAUCUCUGCCCCAGAAGGUGGUUCAGUGGAAUGUGUUGACCAGCAUUCUCAGGGCACAGGAGCAUAUUACAUGGAAACUUACUUAAAAAAGAAGCGAGUAUACUGAGUUAAGCUCUCUCCUAAUAACCCCCUAAGGUUCUCUGCAGUAUCUCUGCUGUUCAUCGCUGCCUUAACUUCAUUCAAACUAGCCAUAUCCUUUAAAUACGGGUUUAUAGUUUCCCAGAAGGAACUGUGUUGUGCAGCAGGCAGAAAUGCCAAAUAAAAAAUAGCAAUAAGAAGAGACAUCAAUUGAGGACAUUUUCCACUAGAGUCAGAUGCAUCUUAAUCAGUGUGCUAACUUACAAUCCAUUGGAGAAACUAACAAUGUUCCAAUAUUCCUUGAUUUAGGACUGGGAAUAAUUCUGACACCAUAUAUAAAAGAAGUUUGAAGCAAUAAAUGGGAAACAGUGUUGUUUCCUGAGCCUUAGAAGAAUGAGUUUCUUAUAAGCCAAUGUGCAUUUCAAUUUACUUUCCCUAGAAGUAAUUGCAUUUAUAGAUUUUUAGGACUUUUCCUAGAACUACAAGGGUGCAAGUACCAAAUGUGCUGAUGGUAAUAUUAUAAAGAUGCUCUACAUGCACACUCAAUUACGCCCACACCAGCCAUGCAAAAUUAAACCCGGUAAGAGAGUGACAGUGAUGUCCAAGGUAUCCACUACUACCGAUGCUUUAAGAUGUUGUUUACCAUUUAUACCUUCUGUGAAAAAUAGAAGGUAUUUUAAGAAAAGUAGCUUUGGUGAUCUAAUAAAGGGUUUGGCAAACUACACCCUGGGUCCACAUUUGGUCUACCACCCGCUUUUGUGCUGCCUGCAAGCUAAGACUAAUGUUUACAUUUUUAAAUGGUUGGAGGAAAAAAGAAAACUUAUGACAUGAAAUUUAUAUGAAAUUCAGAUUUCAGUGUCCAUAAAUAAACUUUUAUUGGGACGUUGCCAUGCUCAUUCAUUUACGUGUUGUCUGUGGCACUCUUAUGCUACAAGGGCAGAACUGAUUAGCUUCAACAGAGACUGUAUGGCCUACAAAGACCAUAUGGCCUAAAAUUUCGAGUAUCUGGCCAUUUAUAUAGUUUGCUGAUCCCUGAUCUAAUAGCACUAAUUCUAAUAGCAACUAUUCCUUUCAAUUCACCUAAAGACAGACCUUUAGCCUUUAGACAGACUUGUAAGUGGAAAGGAACACGUGUUUCUGUGCUCAUUUCAUAGCAUAGACUAGUAAUGAUCUAAUGACUAGAAUGGGGCCUAUUUUGAUCACUAAAUGCCCUAUUAUUUCCACAAUAUAGUAAAGCAGUCAAUACUGCACUUUCUGAUGGAGUCUUAAGGAGUCACAGUAGUUAUAACCAUUUUGAGCUAAUAAGCUAUACCUCACUCUCUGCUUUCUCUCUCACUCUUUGAUAGUGUGUUAGGGUGAAAAAUCAGUUAUUUAACCCAAUUUACUUGUGAAAGAGGUUUUAUCUUUAUGGACUAUGACUUUUGACAUCACCAUUUCUUGAAGACCUUGGUAUUAAAUGCAUGAGAAACCUUUUGCCAUCUAGAAAUUUCUAAGUUUGUUUAUGUUAUAAGACUGUAAUUAAUUGAUAGGGAAUUUGGGAUCUCGAUCCGGGGCUUUUUGAAAUCAGAUCAUUAAAUAUCUCGUCACUUUGGGGACUUGUUAUUUUUAACUAUGAUGUGGAUAUCCUGUUUUAAUUAUGAAGUCUAGAAUUGGUACAUAUGUUGUAUGCUUUGUAAAGAAUUUCACUUGGUCUAAUUUAUUGCAUAUACUAGCUUCUGUUGGAAAAUGACUGACAGCUAGAAAGUUGUUUAAGGUAAUUUCUAAGUAAGUAUACUACCUAUAAAUAACUGAUAAGAAUUAGGCAUCAUUCAGUGAUAUAGCAGAUGACUAAUGGGUUUUUCAGGCCCUGCACUUCUCUUUCCCAUUUUCCUGUUGCAUUCAGCCUCUUCAAUGCUUAGUCACACCUCCACUAUAGUACAAACAAACAGAAGAAAGGAAAGAUGGUGAAUUUUGCAACAGAGCUGCAAAAAGUCAAAGCAGGAAGAGGUUGAAGGAACUAAAACAAACAAAGGUGUCUGUCUGGACUACAGCACAGUGGACAGGCCAUCCAUACUGGCCUGUGCCCCGUUAUCACUGGGCACAACAGUGAAGUGCAAAUCAAGUGGUGUUUGUUAGUAGUAAGGACCAGAACCCACCCCUUCCUCCCCCCAAAACUAUACUGUUAUUUUUCUAUGUAAGCAAAUUGUUUGAAAUGCUUUGAAAAUGAAAUCUUAAUAUUAAAAGGCAUAUGCAUGUAAAGUCUUUAGUAUAUUUAUUUGUAUAAAGAGUAAACAAAGUGCAUAUAGAGUGGCCACAGGUUUGACACAGAGACCUUGGUGAUGUAGGCUAUGAACAAAUUUAAAUGGCAACUUCAUUGCUGCCACUGAACCAAUCCUGAAUUUGGGCUCAACAGGUGAAAAGUAACAAUAUCAAACGAAUACUAAACAGCAUAACAACAAAAAGAUUUUCAGACUCUUGGUCAUGAAGACCUUAAUUGUUCACAUUGAAUCAGUGACUAAACAUUUUUGAUUGAUUACCCAGCUACCUCCAAGCAAACUGAAAACUGUCUAGUGGAUCCUGAAGUCCAUAGUGCCUCUAGCCGGGUCUUUCCUUUCAAGUGUUGCACCAUAGGGUGAUGAUGGUAAAAACAGGGAUCAACCCUUGUAGAUCGGUGGUAAGUAUGGAAACACUCUAAGAACAGUGCAGCGUAUGUGGUAUUCAGACUGGUUGCAUACAGCAUUCAAAACCAGUGCUGGAAUUUGCCCCAAAGUGGUAGAGUUAUAAAAGGAUAUACAUUGACGUUUCUUAAAAGCAUGUGUAAUAGCAUCCAGGUUCUGGGAAUAAGUUCUGAUUAAAGGUAUACUGCUUAGGAAAGCACUGGCACAGGCUUAGUUCUUGAGAAUUAACAUGCAGCAAAUUAUCUAUUCCACAGCUAUCCCCCCAUGUAGAACCAGUUUUCUCAAAAAUGGGUGCUAGUGGUCACCCAAAGGAACAGGAGCUAAGCCACUGGAGAAACAAAGUUUAAGUCCUACUGGUGAGAGAAUACAGUCAUUUUUGUACAGAAACAAUAUAUACUACCUGGUAUCUAAUAUUUUAAGAAUGCAUGGUCUAGUACUGUAUAGAUACUGAAAUUUGAGGGCUAAGUCCAUCAAUCUUUAUCUAUGAUUAAUGUGCCAGCAAAACAUUUCAGAUCAGCUGGCAGCAGGGAAAAGCAAUCAUCUUCAGACAUUAUUUUGGUCAACUCCUCUUGUUUUCAAAAAUCCCCUUUUGGUAAUGCAGUUGUGAUGGUGAACUAGCCAGAUGAAAUGGUGGUAUAUUCUUUCCACAAGGAGGAGUGCUUAAGUGCUUUCAAAUAUUUUGGUUGUCAUUAUGUGUCACUAAGUUACUGGUACCAAAUUUAAAGAGGAAGUCCUUACACAUAUUAAGCACUACAGUGUGCCUUAUACAUGUAUAUGUACUGAAGUAUGAGUUCAGUGACUUUUUGGACAAAACACAAACUUUUUUCAUUAGAAAUUUUUAAAAAAUGACUUGGGCAUUUGUUGCAGGAGAAGGACUUGAUAAUCUGUGGAAUUUAAAUGUUAUUCAUGCUUCUUAUUUUAAAAGUGCUUCAAAUCCUUCAAUAAGGUUCUGAAAGCUUGUCCGAUUGGAUGGUUGGAAUUCCCAGCAUUUCCUCAUAAGUUGAUAAACCUGUAAAAAGAAAGAAGUAACAACAGUAAAAAUGUUAGAUUUGGGAACUUUAAAAAAUAACAGAAAUAUCAAGAGUAAGAAAAUAAUUUUGGAAAUGCAACGACUUUUCCUUAAAGACUGGAAAAACAAAAGUAUUUGAAUAGUUUAAAACACAGAAAAUGGGAUACAACUCUAGUUCAUAAAUAAUAUUUUAACAUUUGAGAAGCUCAAGGGUUGACUGGCUGCAAUAAAAUCCAGGUCAUUCCUGUAAACCAGUUAGAGGGUGAAGCAGAAGCUCAGAUCAGACUUGAACUUUCCAGACUGGCUGCCUCACUCUCUGACUCAUACUGUUCAGUGUGUCUUACACAGUCUCAAGAGUUUAGUAUUAAAGGCUCAAUUCACUUAGAAAACUGAAUUAUAAAUGCUAAUAAGUGGGAUAAACUUACAAAAAAUGCAAUUAUAUGUAUUUGUCACACUAAGGCUACACCAAAACCUGUCCCUCUGGGGCAAGCAAGUGGAUAAAGAGGGGCUGGCUUUUGGAGGGAAUCCUUGCUCUGAACCUAACUGGUGGCUAUCAUCUAGCCCCAAAGGUGAUUUCUCAGUUAUCUUAUGUGAAAUUCAGCUUCAGAAAACUAUUUUACAAGGACUUCACUGUAUCAUUUCCUCGCUCUCCCCUCUACCCAUUGCUGGAUAACUCAAGCUGCGAAAACAUAAUAGAAAUGGAGUGUUAUUACUGUGAUGUGGCCCACAGAUACCUCAUCUGGACAGUUAGGUGGGCACGGCAGGCGUUUUCCUUCUUUUAAUGUAUUCACAAGUCUUGUGACUGUCAUCUGGCCAUGGGUUGGGCCUAUCAUUUUCAGGAACAACUAUAUAAAAUAAAACCAAACAAAACGUUUAACUUUGCAAGUAUUUACAUAAAUGCCAAACAGAUUAAGGUGAAAUUUCUACAAUCAACUGGAAAUUUAAGUAGCAAUAAAAAGGCUUUUCUCCUUAGUAACUUUAAAUAAAAAUCCAAAAUCCUUAUUAGCUUUCAAUGAUCUGUCUCUAACCAGUGUCUUAGACUCUACCAACCGCUCCUUGUGCUUGUGCUGGUCAAGGAGUCUGUUCCCAAGAAAAUGAUCUGAUUUAGGAAUGAAGGAGGCACAGACAAGGCUGGUCCCUACCCAAUGCUACCCCACUUAACUUGCUCAUUUUCCCAUAAAACUGCCCUUCAUCUCUACACAGAUAAGAUCCUUGAGAGUCAAGGUCAUCCUAUAGAACUCUGGGCUCAUUGUGAAAGCAAGACUUGAGAGAUUCACAAAUAACUGUCAAGUAGCAAACCAAGUUAAUGGGAAAGUGACACUUUCCAUUAUAAUACAUUGAUUGGAUUCCAUUUAAAAACAAAAGUUAACCAAGCAGAGGGAUGGACACAUUUUAAAUGGGUACUGGAUUCAAAUGAAGAGAAAAGUAGGACUUACAGCCAUGGGACUAGAAUCUGAAUCACAGUAAGUCAGCAGCUCAUGCAGAGUGACUCCAAAAGACCAGACGUCAGAGGCAAUAUAAAAUUUCGAUUGCAUUAAACAUUCUGGAGCAUACC